GUUUAAGAUUGGAUUUAUGCCCAUUUUGAGUAAAUCCUCACCCUCCUUGGUUUAGCUUCGGCUGAUCUCAGUUGGUUCUUGUUAAAACCAAAAUAUCCUCACCUGCAGCCCACGAGGAUUACUUUGCUUCAUCGUUGUAUUCUAACAACCCUGGGAUGUUGGAUUGAUUACUGACGCCAUUUGAGAGAUGAGGAAAUAAAUUCUCAUACAAAUGAAGUGGUUUGUCCUGAGUCAGAGAGUUAGAAAACUUCAGAGGCGAGAUUUGCACCUGUAGUCCUAAGCCAGUGUUGAGGCUGAAGGAGACGGUAUUCCUGGUUAGAUUACAUCAUUACCACAAGAGAGGCUUGAGUUCUGAGGAUGACGGUUUUAUAGCCCGUAGACCCCCACAACUGGAGCCAUCUGGACUUCUGGAAGCCUGUUCAUUCAUUCAGCAAAUACAAUUCAUGAUUACCAUAAGCCUGACCCUAUGCUAGGACUGGUGCUCACUCACUUGCGCAGUUGUGCCGAUUCAUUGCUACCCCAUGGACUGUAGCCCACCAGGCUCCUCUGUUCUUCGGACUUUUUCAGGCAAGAAUACUGGAGUGGAUUGCUAUUUCGUUCUCCAGGGGAUCUUCCUGACCCAGGGAUUGAACCUGCAUCUCUUGCAUUGGCCUGUGGAUUCUUUACCAACUUCACCACCUGGGGGGCUUAUGAUAGAAAGCUAAAUGAUUCAUGAUACCUGCCUCCAGGUCCUGAGAAGACAGGUGUUACAUGAACGCAUUUGCAAAUGUUGAGUGGUUGUGUAUUGAGUUGGACCUUGCACUUUUGUAUUAUAGAGAAGACUUCCUUUCCUGAAACCUCAUGAACCAACCUUUGAUAGCUUCAAGCUUUUCUUCUGUGGCUUGCUUACCUCUCCAGCCUUCAUAAAACUGGAGAGAGUUAGGGCCUUGCUCUGGAUUGCAUGCAUGUGCUGUGCUCAGUCAUGUCUGAAUCUUUACAACCAUGUGGACUGGAGCCCACCAGGCUCCUCUGUCCAAAGGAAUCUUUCCAGGAAAAAAUACUGGAAUGGGUUGCCAUUUCCUUCUCCAAGGGAUCUUCCUGACUCAGGGGUCGGACUCCCGUCUCCUGCAUCUCCUGCGUUGGCUGGCAGAUUCUUUACUACCUGCACCCCCUGGGAAGUCCCUUGCUUGGAGAUUAGGCUUUGUCUUCAGGGAAUGUUCUGGUCGGUUUGCUCUUCUUUCCAGACCACCGAAUAUCAGCAAUAAGGCUUUUUCACUCUUUUGUCAUUGUUAUCAUGCUUAAUUUCCUUCAAGAACUUUCUCUUUACAUUCACAUCUCAGCUGUUUGGUGCAAGAGCCUAGCUUCCUGGCAUUUGAUAUGCCUCCUUCACUAAGCUUAGUCAUUUCCAGCUUUUGAUUUAAAGUGAGAGACAUUCAGCUCUUCCUUCCACUUGAACACUUAGAGGCCAUUGUAGGACUGUUCACUGGCCUGAUU
ensembl:lncRNA